UACUCCUACGGGAGGCAGCAGUGAGGAAUAUUGGUCAAUGGGCGAGAGCCUGAACCAGCCAAGUAGCGUGCAGGAUGACGGCCCUAUGGGUUGUAAACUGCUUUUAUGUGGGGAUAAAGUGAGCUACGUGUAGUUUAUUGCAGGUACCACAUGAAUAAGGACCGGCUAAUUCCGUGCCAGCAGCCGCGGUAAUACGGAAGGUCCAGGCGUUAUCCGGAUUUAUUGGGUUUAAAGGGAGCGUAGGCCGUGGAUUAAGCGUGUUGUGAAAUGUAGACGCUCAACGUCUGAAUUGCAGCGCGAACUGGUUCACUUGAGUAUGCACAACGUAGGCGGAAUUCGUCGUGUAGCGGUGAAAUGCUUAGAUAUGACGAAGAACUCCGAUUGCGAAGGCAGCUUACGGGAGCACAACUGACGCUGAAGCUCGAAGGUGCGGGUAUCAAACAGGAUUAGAUACCCUGGUAGUCCGCACAGUAAACGAUGGAUGCCCGUUGUUAGUUCACUUAAGAAUUAGCGACCAAGCGAAAGCAUUAAGCAUCCCACCUGGGGAGUACGCCGGCAACGGUGAAACUCAAAGGAAUUGACGGA
rnacentral:rRNA from 1 species